ACACCUCAACCCUCCAAUGUUUUUGCAUUGAAGGUGUUGGUAGUGAGCGCUGCCGGACUUUGGGUCGGCUCGCUUUAAAAUCAUUAGUUGGAUCCAUUCUGACCUGGUUCUACUCGGCGUAAUAAGUUAUUAUCGUCGAGGACGCUUGUCUUUCAGGCAGGCGGCCACAGUAAGGGUGUUUGAACCGCUUCGAACACGUCUUGCUCUUGUAGCAAACACUUGAAC
rnacentral:misc_RNA from 1 species